rnacentral:snRNA from 1 species
AAAGUGAAGAAAUUCAAC